UGAUAUUUAGCAAAAAAAAAAAAAAAAAAAACUAUUUUAUCCCAAAACCCAUGCUUCAAUUUUUGAGAGAUGGGUGGGGUAACAAUCUCGGUUUGGACUUCAUCUCAAUAUCAGUACCUUAGAAGCCACUGUGAGCAGGGUCAAGACUCCAGUCCACAUUUAAAACUGUACAUUGUGGCAGAAUAUAAUAUAGAGAUGUUGCAAUUUUCUUUUCACAAGACCCAUUGAACUCAUAAGUUCCCAUAGUCAGAGGUUUAUAGGGUAAGAAAUCUUUCGGGGGUUACUCCAAUGUGCACACAAAAAGCCAAGGCCACGCCCCUGUGGCAGUGUCAGACCAAUGAGGUGCCUUCUCUUACCACCAUGCCCAUCUUCCACCACACCCUCCAGGAAAUAUUCACGACAUGGGCUCUGACCCUAUGAAUACAGUCAACGAAGCUCAGGAAUCCACAGACUGGGUUGGCAUGAUGCUUUCCUUCGUGUCCAAUCUGCUGUCGCCGGAGGACGAUGAAGGUGACCUGGCCCAUGCGGUGAGGAAAAAAGGAGAAUUCCUUCCAUCCGAGAGAGGUUUGUUUCCUCCGUUCCUUGAUCAUCGUUUCAUCCCAGCUGAAAUGAGGCAAAAUGCAGAAUAACAAACACAGGCAUGAAUAACCUGCAUUUAGAUUAAGCAAUUAACAUGACGAGAGUGGCAUUUUGCAUCAAGCUCCUAGCAUGUGGCCAUUACCAGGCUGGGCAACUCGUGAAGACAGCUCUUUAUUGGGUCAUUGAUAUCCUGAUCAUGUGGCAGCAAAGGCCUCCAGAUGAUUAGUUGUUCAAUCUGCUUCCAGACAACAUCAUCACCCUCACUGAGCUAAUCAAGAUCCACUUGUGCAUUUGCUGUUACUCACUACUGCAGCAUGAAAUGAAAAUUAUAUAUCGCUUCUGAAUGGCAAUUGUGUGGCGAUGAUUAAAAACUACCGCUGUUAAUCUUAGAUAAUGCUAAAUUAAUAGUAACUGCUUUACACUGAUUUAACACAAUUCAAAGGUAAACAAAUAUUGUCACGUAAUUAUAUCUGAGAAUUUUCGCUACUUUUUUGGGGGAUGUUGAAAACAUUAAUUACUGGGAAUACAGUAUAUUUUUAAAGAAAAUUCAUACAAUAACAUUAGGAGAAGAAAAGCACUGACUACUGGUAUAGUAAAUUUUAGUGUAAAGGUGAAUAUUACUCUCAGUAUCUUUUACAUUUAAAUUUACAUUUACAUUUACAUUUAUUCAUUUAGCAGACACUUCUGUCCAAAGCGACGUACAUCUCAGCAAAAGUACAAUUUAUGCAUUACAUUAAGAGAAGGAGACAUAGCUGCAGACAUGAGGGUCUCAAGCAAAUUUAAUUUGUUCCCUACCGCUUGCUGAUAUUAAUGUAUCAAUAUGGUAUGACUUCUCCAUUUAUUGUUAAACUCUGAAGAGCGAACUAUUUAAGUUUCAUUUUUAUUUGUACUUUGGUUUGAUUUUUGUUUUCGAAUUUUGCGUCACUUUCAUGUUGAAUUUUGCUGUGCGUCGGCAAAUUGCUUCUGUCUGCAGGUAGCUUGUGUUCUCCUGAGGUUUGCCUAGCAGGUGGGUUGUCAUAAACAAGCGUGCGUGUUCAGGGCAACACAAUG
rnacentral:lncRNA from 1 species